rnacentral:rRNA from 1 species
CAGUCGCCGCGGGAAUACGGGGGGGGCAAGCGUUAUCCGGAAUUAUUGGGCGUAAAGGGUACGUAGGUGGCCUUCUAAGCGUAGGGUAUAAGGCAAUGGCUCAACCAUUGUUCGCCCUAUGAACUGGAAGGCUUGAGUGCAGGAGAGGAAAGCGGAAUUCCUAGUGUAGCGGUGGAAUGCAUAGAUAUUAGGAGGAACAUCAGCGGCGAAGGCGGCUUUCUGGACUGCAACUGACACUGAGGUACGAAAGCGUGGGGAGCAAACAGGAUUAGAGACCCCCGUAGUCCCUGUCUCUUAUACC